AUGACCACAUCACAUUAAAACACCAGUACCCGUACGAUCACCGGAGUUAAGCAACGUUGAAUCAGGUCAGUAUCUAGAUGGGUGACCGCUUGGGAGUACCAGGUGUUGUAA